rnacentral:rRNA from 1 species
UACGUAGGUGACAAGCGUUGUCCGGAUUUACUGGGCGUAAAGAGCGCGCAGGCGGUCGUUCAAGUCGAGUGUGAAAGCCCCCGGCUCAACUGGGGAGGGUCAUUCGAUACUGAUCGACUCGAAGGCAGGAGAGGGAAGUGGAAUUCCCGGUGUAGUGGUGAAAUGCGUAGAUAUCGGGAGGAACACCGGUGGCGAAGGCGGCUCUCUGGGCCUUACCUGACGCUGAGGAGCGAAAGCGUGGGUAGCGAACAGG